rnacentral:tRNA from 1 species
GUUCCUGUAGCGUAAUGGAUAGCACAUUGGACUUCUAAUCCAAAGGUCGUGGAUUCGAAUUUCACCUGGGAUG